ACUCACCUUCUCACCUUCGAUCCCAACUUCUCUCUCCUUCAUAUCCUUCCUCUCCUCUCUUCCUUUUAGCGACUCACAGACUCCCGUUGUACGGACCCGAUUCUAUCUGACUCACACUAACCAUAAUCACCUUCCGAUCCGAUCAUGUCUCGGGCCUGUGCCGCUACAGACUCCGUCGCCUCCGGCGAGAUCAUGCUGUUCGGGGUUCGAGUCGUCGUCGAUUCCAUGAGGAAGAGCGUCAGUAUGAACAACCUCUCACAGUACGAGCAUCCACAUGAUUCUAACAACAGCAGCAACAGUAACAAUAACAAAAAGGAUGUUCUCGCAGCUGCUGAUUAUGCCUCAGCCGAUGACGCUGUUCCUCAUAACACCGGCCGUCAGCGCGAGCGCGAGCGGAAGCGAGGAGUUCCGUGGACGGAGGAAGAACACAAACUGUUUUUGGUUGGAUUGCAGAAGGUAGGGAAAGGUGAUUGGAGAGGAAUCUCCAAAAACUACGUGAAAACGCGAACUCCGACGCAGGUUGCGAGCCAUGCUCAGAAGUACUUCCUCCGAAGAAGCAACCUGAAUCGCCGUCGCCGUAGAUCUAGCCUAUUUGACAUCACCACCGACACUGUCUCUGCAAUUCCAAUGGAGGAAGAACAGGUCCAGAAUCAAGACACCCUGUCUCAUUCGCAACCUGUGUGCCCAGCAGUUCCUGAAACUAACAAAAGUGGAUUUCCUAUGAUGCCAGUUUAUCAAUUUGGGGUUGGUUCUGGGGUGAUUGCAGUCCAAGGUGGAAAACCAUUAGAAGAGCUCACACUAGGACAAGGAAACAUAGAACACAAUGUGCCGAUCAAUCUGGUCCAUUCAAUUCCUGUUGUCGCAGAUCCUAAAGCCUCCACAGUGUCUGAUAUCAUCACCCCAAGUUCUAGCUCUGCUGUUGACCCACCCACACUGUCCUUGGGGCUAUCCUUCUCUUCUGACCAAAGGCAAAAUCAUCAAGACAUUCUGGUUUACAUGCCAUGCCAUGUUUCAGCAAUGGAGAUAGCAUCAUUAGUGUUGCUUAAGGAAGACGACUGUGAUUGUGUCAAGGU